GGUGCGCGGAGGAGGCGGAAGCGAAGGCGCGGAGGCAGCCAGCGCCCGCUUCGGCGCUGGGCCCCUGCGGGAGAUGGCGGGGGGCCGCGCACUGCUCGCGGUGCUCGCUGUCCUCAUCGCCGCCUCGGCGCAGCACCUCAAGAGGGAAGCUUCCUUCACAAUCUCCCUUCGUGCAGCGGACAACAUCACAGUUACAAUUAAAUUGAAACCCGGUGUUUUACCCGCCUGUCUAAUUCGUGUUAAAAGUGGACCCAGGCCUGAAUUGAAGAUAAGACCAGGGGAGAAUGUCACUUUAAGCUUCACUUGUAAUACUCCCGAGAAAUAUCUCAUGAUGGAAAUUCAGAAGAAUAUUGACUGUGUAUCAGGCCCAUGUCCCUUUGGAGAUGUUCAUCUUUACCCACCAGGGCUACCUCGCCUUAAUAGGAUUUUCAUCUGGGAUGUGAAGGCGAGUACCAAAGCUGGACUUGAGCUGAAAUUUUCUGCCCCAUUAAGACAGAUUCAACCAGGAGAGAUGUGUCCAGAUUUAGUUAGCUACAACAUCAACAGCUGCAUUGAUAAAGCCACGGUCAACAUUGGCACCUUCUGCAGAAAUGGCUCAGUGUCUCGUGUCAAACUGCUUGGAGGAGUCAUUAUGUCUCUGCACCUCCCUUGGAACUUGACUGUCGCCACCUCAGGCUUUAACAUUGCCAACAGGUCUUCCAUAAAACGGUUAUGCAUUAUUGAAUCCAUUUUGAAGGGGGAGUCUUCCAUCAUGUUGAUGUCCCCAAACUAUCCCUUGGGCUUUCCAGAAGAUGAGCUCAUGACAUGGCAGUUUGUAGUCCCUUCCAACAUGAGAGCGAGUGUGUUUUUCCACGACUACAGCCUUUCCAACUGUGAAAGGAAGGAGGAGAGGGUGGAGUAUUACAUACCUGGCUCUGUCAGUAAUCCUGAGGUGUUUAAGCUGAGUGACAGCCAGCCUGCCAAUAUUGCUGGCAGCUUCAACAUGUCUCUGCAGGGCUGUGAUCAGGAUGCCCAGAACCCAGGCGUCCUUCGCUUACUCUUCCAAGUCAUCGUUCAGCACCCUCAGAUUGAUGAGAAUGUCACUCACUUGGUUGACCUUAGCAAAGAACGGAAUAUGACUGUAACAAUACACUUUGAAGGGUGGCCCAGGCGAACCCCGCUCGUGUCAGAACCGAUGUGCCUGAUCUGCAAGGAUCCUCGCACUUGUGACCGUGUUCUGACGUUAGCCUCUGGCGCCACCUACAAGAUUUCCUUUCUGUGCAAGGACUUAUCCCACCUGAGGAUCACGGCUGAAAAGGGCAUAAGCUGUGUGGGUCUUCGGUGGUGUGAGAGCAGGAUCUAUUCCCUUUCAGUGCCCAAGACUAUUACCCAAUUGCCAGUUCAACUGCAUAAAUUUAUUUGGAAGCUCAUAGCUCCCGAAGAGAUCAAUAUAGAAAUCACAUCUCCAUCACUGAAACUGCGGCAACACCUCCCAGAGCAGAACUGCAACACAAGCUACAGUUACAGCAUUAUUAGUGCCACCCCAGAGACAGAGAUGAAUGUUGGUAUAUUCUGCCCUGGUGGAGCCAUUGAAAAGAUUCAGUUGAGGAAUAACAUCACCAUAUCUUUAAAAACAUUUGGUAAAGGUUUCCUCAAUGAGUCUAAUCAUCAAGAUCUGAAAAUGUCUUUUGUGCCACAUAUUAAAGAUGAGUGUACUUUUACUGUGAGUCCAGAUUCAAAAGCUAAAACUUACUUACAGACUCCCAACUCACAUUAUGGUCUGCCCCCUUACGUCUCCAUAUCCUGGUACAUCAUAGUGCCUAGCAAGCAAGUUGCCCGCCUAGGGUUCUCCACAGACCGCAUGGGCAUUACUUGCGAGACAGGGCGUGCCUAUGUCAACAUAAAGGAACAGAUGCCUGGGGCAGAGGAAACUGUACGCCGUGAGGAUGAGCUUCUACCUCAGCCCCGAAAUAUGCAUUAUAACUUCUGGGUAAAUAUCUCCAAUUGUAAGCCUGUGGACCCGAUGCAACUGAGCUUGAAGUUCUGGGUGACUUUUGUUGAAAAGCAGAUAGGGAGAGAAUUCUCCUUAACUUGCACUUUCAGCGCAUUUCUGCUUCAUGUUCUGCAGCUCCCUCUCCUACUGGUGUCAUGGAGUUUGCACAGAAUAACCAUGGAGCACAUCUGCAAAAAGAAAUUUGGGGGCCUGUACUCCAUGCCUGUCUCACAAGGCAUGGGGGGACCAACCUGCAGUGAGGUUGCCUGGGCAAGAGCAUGGAAUGUAUGAGGGAUUAGGUAAUCAGCUCCCCAGGCUUCAGACAAAAGCCUGAGGCAAAGAAUAAAGCUCAUUUGACUGAGGUUGAGAAUAAUCUAUCACCUGUCUUGCUGAUUCAUGAUGGAAAAUGAACAUCUGGCUUAGUGUCACAGGAAUAUCAAUAGCUUUGCAAAUGGGAAGCUCUAAGGCAUAAAGAAGGGGGCCAUAUGCUGCACAAUGCUCGUCAUUAACUGCCUAAGGCAAUUCCGGUGCCUGCAGGAGCUUCACAGAGACCACACUUUGCUUUGAUCCCCAGUUCACUCCACGUGUUGGACACAUCAUCACGGCAUGCUUGGGUAUCCCUUGUCAACAUCACAUGGAACAAUGAUAACCACUUUAAAAGCACCUCCUCUCUCUAAGCAAAAGCCAUGCCUUCUUCAAGGAGUCCUUUACCUGUCUGAAGUGCUUGCUUCUCCUUCAGUAGAGCAACCUCCUGAGAGAUGUUGUCAAUCAUGGCCUUCAGGUCUUCAAUCAUUUUGAGGCUCACACCAUCUGUUGGAGAAGUCCAGAGAGAGCAUAAACAUCCACCACAGCCCCAAAGGAGGCAGCUGGAGCUGUUCCUAUCAUCAAAAGUCCCCACCUCCCUGCCCACAGGGAAAGACAAAAAAGAUUCCCACAGCCAAUAUCUGUAUCCUAGUACAUCUAUCAGAUGGCAUUUACUCAUUAGUCUGGUUGCACCAUCAGCCCAGGUCCGUCAGGCUGGGUUUUGGGGCAUCGCUCUCCUUACUUGUUAACCACCCACUCCUGGAUUCAAGCAUGGGCAGUGGUGGCACCAGUUCUGGGACUGCUGGCUCUGGGUGAAUGACAUGGCUGAUCCAAGCACCAUGGCUAAAUAUUCACGAUGUUUCCAGCAUGCAAGAUGGUGUCAGGCAGGGGAGUUGUGGUGACAGCAGCACCACUGCAGCGGGCUGCUCAAGCUAAAGCAUUUGGGACCUCAGAUUCUGCUGCUGUACAUUAGUAUUGCAUGGGGAGACCUGCCCAAAAUUAUUCUGGGAAAGAGAAGUGUCAUCUGUGGCUUCCUUAGGUGAGAAGUGCAGCAGAACACUUUCAUUGCAGCCUCCUUUAUAAAGUUAGUCUUUCCUCUACUGCAAGCCACUGUGAUGUCUCCUAAGACACAGUGAGGAGAAUGAGCUGCAAGAAACUCAUCCCUGCAGUAAGAUUUUGCUAGCAUUAAAUGGAGUCCUGUAUCAUGGAUCACGCUGUUACCAGGAAGGCCACCAACCCAUGGCUUAGCACCAGCCCUUCUCUCUCUGGUUUCUCCUGCAUAGAAUGACUGGUAUGAAAUGGAGGAGGUGAAAGAUGGGACAUAAAGGCAUUUGUGGUCAUUGCACUAUAUCUGCCGCUCCUUAGUUUGCCCACAGAGCAUCAAGAGAGGCUUCCUUUGGGGUCAGGGAGCUGGGGAGCCAAGCCAUCAAGUGAGGCAAGUGGGGAAGGAACUUGGACGCUCACCAAAACCACCAGCCUGAUGAUUACAUGUGUCAUGAAUACAAAAGCACAGACAAACCAGGAGAAGAGCCUUAAGCUGCUUUGCUCCUUGCUCAGUUAACCUUAAUGGGUUCAGUUGCAUUUCAGGCUUUAGCUAUUAUUUUGGUGCCUUGAUGAAAAUACUUUGUGGGAAACAGCUAAUUAGCACAAUUGUUUAUCUACAUAAGCCUCUUUUCUAGCAGAACAAAUGUCCCUCAGGUUUAAGUAACAUCCAAAGGCCGUGGUGAGGCACUCUCAGUGAGUCUUGCCAGGGCAGCUCCAUGCAUUGCUCCAUCUGGGAGCAAGAGUAGUAUUUGUCUGUGCACCUCUUCUUCCUGAAGGCUGAUCUCUGCAAGCUGCGAUCAAAGCUGUUGCAGUUGGCUUUGGGGCUGCUGAAGCCAGCAGUGUGUCAGUGCUGCACCUGAGAGCCAGAGCAAGCCCUGGGGUGGCCACCCCUGAGCAGGAAGGCUGAGGACAGGGGCAAGAAGAGGGGGGAAUUGCAGAAGGAUCUGGGUCGUGAUGCUCUGGUUAUGAAAAUUUCACAAGCAAUGUGUUUGAGGCUGCAAAUGAUGGCUCAGGGCUGAUUUUACUUGUUGUAAUGGUAUGUUGCAUAAGCUGUGCCUCAGCCCAGCAUGUUCCUGGAGCACAGGAGGGGACGGGGAACCUCUGCAUGGGGUUUGUGUUGCUGGAAAUGUCCUCAGGCACUUUCUGAGGUCUCCUCCUUACUGACAUUGAGGCUCUGAGAUCACAGGGGAACUGGGGCAGAGUCAGGAAUAGAGCCCAUGUCAGCCUCUCCAUGCUGAUUUGCAACUACCUGCAUCUGGACUCCAAAUACCUUAAAAAUAUGUGUAGGAGCUACACAGAAGUGCUCCCUCUGUGUCCCCACGGACUCUGCCUGGCUGUGAUCAGGGGAAGCCCCCAGUGCCAGGGGUCCCUAGCCUGGACCCUCUCCCACUGGCAUCACCCCUGCAGCUGUAGCCACCCCACCCCACCAGGGUUUAGAGAGGAUUUGCUGAAGUGCUGGCAGCUGGAGCAAUUACUGGGAGCAAUUUGAGAGGGGAAUAAAACAACGGGCAAAGUGAAUGUGUUAUUUCAGCAUUUUUGAAAUGGUAGUUUUGGGUUUUUCUUGGUGAAACGGCACCGUUUUUGCUCUGAAGGAGAUCCAAAUGUAAGCAAUAAUUACAUCGCGAAGAAAGAAAAGAAAUAGCGCAAAGAAAGAAAAGAGAGAAAAGAGCUGAAAAGGCUCAGCUCAAAGCAUUGACUUCUUUUCUUCUGUUUGCGGCUUGGCCACGCAGAUUAAGAAAUACAAACCCAACAAAAUGCCCCAAUUCUCCCAUGACUUCGUCCUGUCCGAACCAUCCCAGUGAAGGGCAGGGGGACCAGGAGGGGGGUUGCUGGUGGCCUUCACUCCCUUCAUCUGGCCACCAAGUGGGACAGGAGCAAGGAUGGGAGACAGGAGAGUGACAUCGCAUCCUUACCACGAGUGGCUUUGGAGGUGGCAAGGGAUGAAGAGGAGCUCCAGGAGAUGGGGCUUCCCUCACUUCCAGUGAUAGAGAGAGAAAGAUAAGCCCUCCUUAAGAAACGAGAUUCCCUCCUGCUACAUCCCAGAAGUGCAAUGCAUGUAAAUGCCCUGCAUCAAUCUAAGGUGGUAUUUUUGCUACACGACACAGGCAGAAACCUCUGCCGUGGACUGAGCAGAUCUGCACCAAUUUCAUCGAGAGAUCCACUGGGAGAAAAUGAAAAAGUUUCUCAAGGAUGGGAUCUGACAAAAAUAGCUGCUGGGAGAGCAUGGCCAAGUGAAUUCCUGGGAUGCUUCCUUCCCACUCUCGUUUGCUCCGAAGAGUGAAGUGCCUGCAAAGCAGCUCACUGCCUGCUCUGUGCUCUGGGUGUCUGCUCUGGGCUGCGGAGAGGAGGGAUGAGGAGGAAAGCACUUGAAAACGAUGAGCCGCGCUGCUUGUAAUAGGUGAUGUACUUCUGCCACAGCUGCCACUUAACUUCUGGGAAAUGAAUGAGCAGAGGUAGGGGCUGGAGGAAGGGAGAUUGUAACGGAGGGGAAGUUUGGGGAGGGCCCUCUGACCCUCAGGCUGUCCCACUGCAUGCAUUCAGUACACAACCCGCCCAAACCACUUCUCUAUCCUUUCUAACUUAUGAAAGCAUACCUACAGGCGUUAGAAGGAAAAGAGGCUUCCUUGGGUUUUUAAAAGCUAAAAGCUCCAUCAGAGCACCCCUAACGGUGCAGACUGCCCCCCACCCACGCCCAGCAGGAUCCCUCAGGCUUGGCCCUUACCUUUCUUGGAGGCCGCCGGCUUCUGCCUGCCCUUGCCAUUCUGCUGGACGGAGAUGUGGGCGAGGGAGACGAGGCAGAGCAGCAGGCAGGCUCCCCGCAGCGCCAUGCCGAGCACUGAGCUGAGCGGGACUGACUGUGCUCGGCCCGGCACGCCGGCUUUAAUGAGCAGUGUCUGGCCAAGGAGCUGGCCCCGGGCUGCUCGCAGCUUCCAGAGGCCGCAGGGAGGGCCCAAGCGGCUCUGGCCAAUGCUGAGAGCAGCCCAGCCAGCUUUUCUUGCUUGUUUUUGUUAAAAAGUAAUAGAAACAAAACAAAAACAAAAACAAAAAACCCCCCCACACACAAAAAACCCCACAAGCCUACUGAGAGGCAAUUCAGCUGAACCUGAGGGAACGGUUGGGAAUAGAGUUGGAAUGAUUCCCUGUGACUCUCAGCACAGCGCCAAGAGAUUGGUCUCACGUUUCAGCGAUGGCAGUGGCACACAAAACCCCCAGCACUCCUCCCCUCAUUUAACUCAGAAUGUGUAGCAUCAGUGCUUGUUCUCCUCGGGGUUAAACCAACCCAGCUUUCCCUGCAUGCCAAACCAGGCAGCAGAGGCUGGCAAUGGUGCAGGACAGGGAGGUUCUGGCCUUGGGCGGUGCCCUCAUGGGUGUUUGCCACUGCUUCUCCUUGUGCCCAUGGGGCUGGGGACAGCUCUGGGUGUUCAUGUUCGAUAUUGAUUCCUGUGCCACCAGGGGGAGAGCCGCACUGGAAGCAAGUUGAGCACCCAGGUGUCUUCCCCAUGGCCACUCACAUAAUGUGGCUCCCCGCUCAGAAUGGGGAACCUUAAGGCUUAUAAACAGCCCUGAGCUGUGAAAUGGGAUGAACAUGGCUUGGGGUGGUGGGAACGCGUCCCACAAAGGUGUUUUGCUCUCACAGGGUCUCAGGGUCACUUCACAGCAGCACUGUGGCCUAAGCCCAAAUCACUGCUGGGUUUAUGGGGAGCUGCAGUUGCUCUGGAGCUGCAUCACAGGGGGUGAGUCCUUCCUGUGGGAGGAACAGGAAUCUCCCAGCAAGUGGAAUGAAUUCACAUAUGGAGAGAGGAAGGACAAAGUGCUUUGUGCAGCUAUCAUUAACUGAAAUCCAUUCAGGGAAAAAAAUAUAACAAAAGCAAGAUGCUGCCCAGCACACUGGGAACCGCUAGAGUUACAUAAGCAUAAAAGAGCUGAGAUAAAAAGGGGUAUGCAUGGAAAAAGACCUGCUGUUGAUUUAGUUUGGCUGCAGCUAUGUUACACUGCCUAGCUCCUGUGCUGAGCAGGCAAAGCCCUCACUCACUCCUACCUGAACAGAGCUCAGCAGCAGUCCAAACUUCAAAGCCAAGGAAAUGGGUUUGAUCUUCACUCCCUGUUACCACAAACACACACGCACAGUCCCACUCAGACUCAAGCAAGAGAACAAAUAUUUGGGGGGAUUCAUCACCUUCCUUCCUGGCCUCUCCCUAAGAAAAAUGGAGCUCCAGAGGUGCCAAACAUCUUCACACCCAUGUGUGUUCCCUUCCCUUGACACUCGAGCAGCAUCUCUCUAUCCAAAAAGGCUUUUGGUUAGCUCAGCACCUCCCGGUUUUCCUUGGCUGCGGAUUUGCUCGCCUGUCAUUUCUCCGAUUCAUGUUCUGCCACACAGGGAAAAAACUGAAACACUCUCUGUGAAACACAACUCGGGUGUGGAGCCACCUGGUCCCUGCCCACAGGAUUUGGAUGGCUGUGGUUCCCGAAGGGGAAGGCUUUUGGCCAGCACCAUCUCAACAUGUGGUUUGCAGCAAACAGGUCCCUCCUGCGGCAGCCAGCAGGUACCAGGUUUUUACCAGGUUCACCACAGGUGGGACUUCCACCUGCCAUGAAUGCCGAGUGUCACCUUUGCUUUUCUUGGAGGCUCAAAAAGCUCAUCUCCGUGAGAUCUAUUUGACAGAGGCUAACACAGACAGAAAAUUGAAAUGUUUGGCAUUGCAAAAGUUCCGAAACCCGCAUGAACACACUCAACAGUACAAAGCUCAGGGGCUGCUGUAGCAGGUCCAGGACUGGGAUGCUUGUGAGGAAGAGCAUGGUAUGGGUUGGAGGGUUCUUGCCCACACAAAGCGCACACCCUGUCUGGGCUUCUGCUGAGACCUGAGACUCCUAUUAAAUAACAGGGACAUCAAUGGCCUUUUGUGUGCUGGCAUCUCAGCCAGAUAGAACACUUCUGAGAUCUGGGUGACUCACAUAUGUUAUGUAAUCGAGGCGGGUAGAGGUAAUCCUCUUCACUAGAUGAACUAAUACAACUGGAAGACGAUGAGGUUUUGGCCACUGGAAUCUCUCCUCUUCCAGGCUGAAAGCUGGAAGUGAAGAAGCAAGAAGGGCCACAGCUGGGAGCCUCCUUAAUCACAGAUAAUGAGAGGGAAGGAGUGGGACUUGUGGAAGGGAGUGGUGGGUAACUCACAGAAGGGCUAACUAGGGGGAGGAAUGCAAGACGCCGCCAAGAAACCAAUUUUAUUGUUCAUAUUAUUUAUAUAUAAAAUCUGGAAUUCAGAAUUCUACUUUCCAGUAGAAGUACUUUACUCUCUUGCUUCAAGAUGGGUCUGUGGUCAGACAGACAGCAACUCCUGUUAGCUGUAAGGAGACCAGUUUGAGGUAAAAAGAGAGAGCAAGAGAGAGUGUGCUUAGGAAGACUGCCCAAGGACUGCAGAGGUUUACGUGGCUCUGGGAAACCCAAUAAGUAGACUGAGAUGCUGGAUUUGGAGAGGGUUCAGCCAGCAAAACAGUGGCUGGAAGGAGCCCAUGGAAGGAAGCUGGAUGCUCCUGGCAAUGAUGCAGACCUGUGAUUUCUUGCCCAGCUGGGCAAGGAAAUGGGCAGCGAGAUCAGAGGCAAUUUUGAUCCAGCUCCAAGGAAACGAGUGGGGAUUGCCAAGCCAAGUAAUGCACAAGUGCCGCCACACAAUGGCUGGAAAGUAGAAGGGUGGACUAGAUAACAGCUUUCACACGGUUAUUAUCGACAUAGGCAAUCACCGGCCUUGGCUACUCAAGGCUAAGCUACCAGCCCAAAGGCAGGCUGCAGCAAUGCCAAGCCACGCUCACUCCUCACAGGGCAGCAGGAGCACAGAAAGGCUGCAGCCCCUCUCCUCUGGGAAGUGUCCUGCGUGGUGGAGAUUUGAAAGCAUCUUCACACAUGGGCCAUGCAACAACUUCAGGAAGGAACAGAAGAGAAACAGUGGUGGACAGUAGAAAUGUAUUCUGAGGAUGUGGGAGAGCAGAGGAAAAUCUCUGGUGUUAGCCACCUUGUGAACUUGUGUUGGCAUUGGUCCUGAUUUCCGCCAGCAUAAACAACAUCAGAACAGGUUAAAAUGGAAUGAGCUGAAUCUAUGGAUCAUUGUUUCAGGAGAAGGAACACGAUAAUACUUCAGGAAAGGGUGGUUUUCAUAAGGACAAUGAUGGGGAAAAUGAAGGAGCCAGCGCUUUGCCAAAAUGUUCUCUCCAGUACCAGCACUUGGAAACUGGCCUUGAGCCUAAGGAGGGAGCUUUUCCAUACCCUAUGCACUCUACGGGCCAACAGUUCAGAAAGAUCUGUGCUAAAAGAGAUUCUCAGGCCUUAAACUGAGCCCAGUUAAAGCCAAACCACUUGAGUUCAAGUGCCAGGAGCUGCUCAGCAUCUUCCCAUUUCCAAAAGGAGCUGCACCAAAGGACUCACCCCCUCUUCUGCUCAGAGCACGUAGACUCCGCUGGGCUAGGGGGACACCCAUCCGUCUUCACUGCUUUUCUUUGCCAAUCAUUCAUAGCCUGAAGUCUGACCAGCCAAAAGAAAACUGUAGCCACGUGUCUAAAUUGAACGCUAAAUCUCUGGAGAAAUUCCUGAUUGUGUAGGUUUGCAGAGCAGACUGAGAAAUCGUCCGUCUCACCAUCAGCAGAAGUGAAGACACUGCCGAAGUUGAAGUCAGUAUUUUGGGACUGGGAAGCAGACAGCUGUUCUGCCAGCUUGCAGUGUGGUUGCGUGUUUUCCCCAUCAUUGAGCAACUGGUUUGCCUCCAUGUAGCUGCAGAUGCUGAAUUAGGGGGCUGUAAGAGAAUUUCUAUGAAUUUCAUGAAUUCAGAGAAAGAGCUGCACGACCGGACAGUGGGAAGAAAGCAAUGUGUGUUCUUCAAAAGCUCUAUCAGCUCAAAGUUGGAGGAAGGAAGAGGAGUAGGACCUCAUUCAGGGCUUUUCAGCACACAGGUUCCCAACCCUGGCAAUACCCAAACUUACCAUUUGCCAAAAUGCAGUGAGAGCACGUGCUGUGAGAAUGCUCUGGUGACAGGAGAGGACAGGUUGGUGGCCCUCAGUGCCUCCAACAUCUGCACGGAGCUGGCACAGCUGUGCUCCCGCAGUGACAGCUGGGAGACCUACUGGCUGUGCCAGGAUGUGGCUGAGAUUGCAUUUCCUUCUUCCUCUCUCCCACAGUAUUAGCAAAGGGGCCUCAGCAGCUAUAAUUGUUCAAGUCUAAACCAUCACAUCUGAGCUACCAGUGACAUGAUACAAGAACUCCAGGGUGCCCGUAUUGCUGAUCUUAAUCAGCAGGAUGACAACAGAGGUGUUUAUAGAGCUUGUGAGAAAACCUUAGCCUUAUUAAAGUGUUCCGAUGGGCAAAACUGAGGUUGGAGCUAUCGCUGGGGAGUCAUUAACAGCAGCACAUCAAACAGUCAAGUGUUGUUUUGCAGGAAUGGCAAAAAUGUGUUACGGGAUAGCUAGGAAUGCAGCUAAUUAAAGGAAGAGCUCUCUCUAUAGAGAGAAGGGUGUCAAAGUGCCCAGCUUUCAGUUUGGCCUUUUCCUAUUUGCAUGUCCAUGGAACUCGUGGGAAAUGCUGAUGGCUGGGAAACCAGGCCACUGUGACUGAGGUCAGGUCACAGAAUCACAGAAUAUCCUGAGAUGGAAGGCACCCGCAAGGAUUACAGAGCCUCACAGAAUAUCCUGAGAUGGAAGGCACCCGCAAGGAUUACAGAGCCCAGCUCUCGGCUUCACACUGGACCACCCCAAAUCCAAACCUUGUGUCUGAGAGCGCUGUCCAAACACUCCUUCAACUCUUUAAAUACAGUUUUCUUUGUUUCUGGACUCAAGUUCAAACACCCGUGGCUCUGUGUGCAGGACCAGCAAUAAGUGCUCUGGUCAGUGACAUCUGCUCUGGCUGCUCCAACCAGCCAGGCCCACACGAGUCCCACAUUUACAACCAGCCCAGCACAGCGGGAGCUUCCCCAGCACCCACAGCAGCAGAACGGCAGCUCCUCGGGCCCUCCUCACCCCAUCCCUUGCAGUGGCCAUGCUGGCAGCAGCCAUGCUGGUGCCACCUGAUGGGCAGCCCCGUCCUGCCCCAAUGGCACCUGCAGCUCUCACAGGGCACAUGCAGGGGAUGGGACGGCACUCCAGGGUGGGACCCACUGCAGGCAGAGGGGACAGCAGCACCAGUUACAGGUUCCUAAAUUGAGAGCUCAUAGACAAAUCUGGAAAGAAGUCUGAGUAAUACACCUUCUCCAUUCUCAGGUCCUUUUAUCUAUCUAUUUAUUUAAUGGUUCUGGAAAUAAAAUGUUUGAAUAAUUAACUUUUUCAGUUGUCACGACCUUUUAGUCAUUCAUUCAUUCAUUUCUUUAAUGGUGACAUCUCAGACUGAUCUUAUUUUGUCUCUCAAAAGGAAGCAGAAGCAAUGGUUCCAACAUCAACUCAAUGGUCUUCAUUAAAGGAAAGAAUCAAGCUCUAGAUUCUUAGCCUGUUAAUUUCAAGAGAUAGUUUCCCCCAUGAAGCCUUUCAAGUGGUACUUCCUGAUUUGUACUGCUCUCAAGAGUCGUACUAUGGCAGUGUUGAUCCCACCCUCUGGGAAUCUUCGCAGCAUAUUAGGAAGUCUGAAGAUCACAUUAGAGACGCAAUAAAUUGCCAAAACAUGAGCUACAUCUUAUUGGCAGGCAUAGGGCAGCUUGCCUGGUAUGCAUAUUUUAGUUUAAAAUUUAUCUUUGCUUUGGAGUUCAUCUAAAGAAUGUGUGGGCUGAUGCACUUAAACUCGGGCUUCAACAUCCAAAAGCACUGCCCUGGGAAGGAAUACCAACAUCUGCUGUUGCAUAGGAAAGAUGGGCUGCCCAGAGAAGCUGUAGUGCUCCAUCCCUGGAGGCGCUCAAGGCCCGGUUGGAUGGGCAGGCUGACCUAGUGGUGGCAACCCUGCCCACAGCAGGGGCUUGGAGCUGGGUGGUCUUUGAGGUCUCUUCCAACCCAAGCCAUUCUGUGAUUCUAUGACACUGGCUCCAGUUCCCGUACUCUCUGCAGUCUGUUGCUGGUAAUGGCCAUUUCUGUACAUCAUGGCCAUGGGCCUGAGUAGUGAAAGAGGUGUUUCUGUGGGGUUAUGGCUGCACAAUGGACUUGGAUUUUACCUGUUCUUCUCUUGUUUGUAAUGAAAAGACUUUGGUUUAGAAAGCUAGUAGCAGAAAAUCUCCAUUCUUUUCACUAAUCGUUGAGUGUGCAGGGCGUCAAGUCAGGCCUGUGGAUGAGACUGAUCAGGGGUUCAUGGGUGACAGAAGACAGAGGGACUGGGCAUUCAAGGCUCUAACCCAAAACCAGCACCAGGCACCUGGCAGCACCGUGAGGAGCAAGACCUGGCGGCACCUGCCCCUGCACAGUGAACAGGAGCACCCACGUUGUGUCUCUGUGGCAGCAGCUGGCUCACAUCUGCAGGGAAUGCAGAUGGGAAGGAGCUGAGCAGGAACCAAGGGGUGUGUGAGCAGGGUCAGGCUGUGCUGAAGCAAGUUUUCAUGAAGCCUGGCUGAGGGUGAGAUGGGCCCUUUCCUCUCCAUUGCCUUAGUUCCCCUGUAAGGGGGCAACAAGCUCUCUUCUCCAUCCCAAACUAAACAAUUCCAAUAUUGAACUGCUCCCGUAGUUGCAAAAUGUUAGCCGAUCACGUUUCCUAGACUUGGUAAGUCAGUUUAGUUUCAGGGUGACACAUAGCAUAGCCCCUACAGAAUGAACACAAGCAGCAAACCAGCCACAUUUGCUGACCUACAGCCUAGCCCUCGGAGGCCUGCCCCUGUCAAACAGGCCUUUAGGCUGGGAUGCACAGGGGAGGUGGGGGAAAACACAAAAACAGGCUAACAACAAGGUAAACUGCAGCUCAGUGCUUUUUGGGUAACACAAGCAGAAGCCUAGCAGGACUCCCCAGACUCCCUGUCUCUAGCACACAACUUUCAGCCUCUCGACACUCCCAGCAGAAGCACUUAAUUUCUGGGACAAACACAGAGCUAUCCUGCUCCACAGAUGUUUCCUUUUAGCUCUGCUGGACUCAAGUCAAUGAAAACGUGGCAAUAUCUGCACAGCAACACAUGGAACUUUCCACCAGCCCAAAAGGGAACAGGAGCAGUCUCAGUUGAGGCCUUUAUGAAAAAUCUCCAAUUGCUAUUUCUGUUUGGGGUGGAAGGGAGGAGUUAGAGAGCAAAGAAAAUAGAAAUGGGCAGCAUAGUCCUUUGCAUGCCUGAGAACCACAGCAUCAGAGAUUUCUUGGCAGAUGUUGUAUCAACUGGGAGAGCUGCAUGCCCUUUCACCCCUAUCUGAGCUUUGUUUAUCCAUUUGGGCUAAAAGUUGGUAGCAGUAAAUCUCCAGGGGCAGCUGAGACUGACCAGCGGCUGCAUAAUGCUUUUGGCUGGGCUCUUAUUUACAUCUCAGGGGUAGAAGCAGCCCCAGGCUGAACUGGGGUCACACUCUACCCCACUGCUUUUCAAUGCCGGUAGGGAGCAUGUGGACCAAACAGGAUCCCCAAAGACCUCAAAGUACUCUGCCUGCUUACACAGCUAUGGAGGAUGGAGGGAAGAUGCACACAGUUGAAGGAGCCCAGAUCUCAGGCUAAAUAUCUGUUUUCUCUAGUAAGAAGAGCAGAUGGAAUGCAUGUAUAUUCACCUCCAUGGAUGGACCAGUUAACCCACCUGAGGUGUGGUGGGGUUUCUUUUUUCUCCCAGUCUUUGUAACAACUAAUUUAACAUGAAAAAGACCAGGAGAGGGGCAAGGAAGCAUCCUACCACCACUGGUGAAGCUACAACUAUCACUGUAAUUUGCAAAAAGUCUGAAGUUCCUUCAACUGGAAGGCUACUAGAAAUAAAUAUACUACUACUACAAUGGUACAAAAAGCACCCUGAAAAUAACCCCAGGGAAAUUGCAAAUUGGUAAUAGAAAAGGCAACAGCUCUGCAAAGAACAGCUGUGGUUUAAGACUUGCAAUCCUCAUUUAGAUUAACCAUUUUCUGAAACAUUAAACAAUACACAACCAAACAAAACCUGCCUUUGAUAUGCCUAAGGUACUGUAAAUGUGUUUGUUUUUUUUCCCUUUAGUCUUCUUUCUUUCUAGAAGUAGCUUUGCAUGGCAAGGAAUGAAACACAUGUACCGUAAAACUUAGGUGAGGUCAGUCUUUGCUUCCCACAAAAUAACUCUACUGGAGUAACUGAAGAUGAUCUACAUAAUCAUCAUGACUUCUUGGCUCUUGUUACCAUAACUUACCUAACCCGUCACUUAAGGUACUGAGGACCUCCAAACUAUUUGAAACAGAUAUCUUGGGCAAAUGUUGUGGAAUUUUUCUGCUUGCUCAUUAUGGUAUUGGCUGCACAUAUUUGACAUACACAGCAGCACUGCACUUCACCUUGAAUCAUUAUUUUACCGAGCUCUAGGAAAAGGACUGAAGACAUAUUGAGAUGGCUGUUUUAAUGCGAGCAUAGCUGUUCUGCACUAUAUCCAUAGCUCACCCUCAACAAACAUGUUCUAGCCAAGAAAUUUUCUUUAUCUGGUAUUAGGAAAUUACAACAGGAAACUGAGAAAGAGCUGCUUGACUAAAAGGUAAAGGAUUUGGGGAUUACUGUUGCAGUUUUUGUCAUAACAUGUUCUAAAGGAACCUUCUAACGCAGCUGAAACACCUUCUUGUAAUUUAACUUUUUCCUUCAGGUUCUCCAAUCUGUCAUCUCUUCCUACCAUGCAGGAGGAACAGCUCUUGCUCUUUUCUGUACCAACCAACUGAUGCAUGCAUCCACUGCUUUGAGGAUCUGGUGAAAAAACUCAACUGCACACGUUAUCUGGCACUUUCUCCUGUAUUUCCCAGCUCUGAUGUAUUCCAAUCUUUGUGAAAACAAAGCAGAAUAACAAGAGGUUUCCUCUUGUUACAAGCAGUACAACUGCCUCCCUGUUCAUUCCAGCUCCAGUCCAGUGAAGCAAAAGCCAUGUCUUUCUCACAUGUCUUCGUAGAGCAAUAGCGGAGGAGAGGCUUUAGCCCUGUAGCACUGCUGCCCCACGCAGCACAUUAAGGAUCACUACUCACAGCCACUACGCUUUUCCAGCUCAACUAGCAAACUCAGCAAAAUUUACUUAUUUUCCCUUCAACCUUAGCUGUGCCCCUUCUCCUUAGCCACCAUAAGAGGUUUCACCCAGGCUGUUGUAUCGGCUGGCAAGAGGAACAGACAGAGCUUUAUUUAACAAAAUAUCUUAUUUUAAUAUAUGAUUUAGAAACUCGUGAGCACAUUGCAUUUAUAGUAAAAUCUAACUUCUUUUUUUUCAAAGAAAUGUAAGAUAAUUUGAAGGAAGACUUGCAUUAAGUACUUUUCUCUUUCUCCCAUUAAUAAGAAUUAUCUGGCUGAUGAACAAAGAAGUUCUAAGAGGCCCAGAACCUGGCUUGUGCUGUACCAAGGACACCCCCACAGAUGCUCUCAAACUCAACAGCUGGUCUGCAGAAGUGGAACACAUGCGAACAGAAUUAAGUGGAACCAACAUCAGUCACCCUUGAAAACAGAUUUGAGCACUUCCCGUGGUAUUGCAUCAAUUGUUGUUGGUGUGCAUCCUAGGUGCAGACAGUUACCCAUACGGAAAGCAUCCCCUAUUUGCUCAUUCACAUUUAACUAUCGCUUUCUUUCAGCUCAGUGACACUUUAGAAGCCUCUUCGUUGGAAGGAUGCCAGAUGAGAGAUAAACACUACUCAUCACUUAACCAGCGGGAUAAGUGACUUUUCUGGAUGCAAGAAGACCAUCACUGGUACCACCAAGAUUACAACUCUGGACUGACAUCAUGAAAUAGCGAAGUGCAACA